GCUCCAGUGGCUAAUCGGUUAGCUAGCGGUACUUAUAAUGCGAGGUUGUGAGUUCGAGCCUCACCUGGAGCA
rnacentral:tRNA from 1 species